rfam:Danio rerio chromosome 22, GRCz11 reference primary assembly.
UGCUAGGAAUGGUGGCUGAGAUGAAGAGCAGGAUUUCAGUCAUUGUUUCUAGUAGU